GCUGUGGUGGCACAGUGGUUAAGAGCUUGGCUACUAACCAAAAGGUUGGCAGUUUGAAUCUGCCAGCAGCU
rfam:Loxodonta africana unplaced genomic scaffold scaffold_53, whole genome shotgun sequence.